rnacentral:rRNA from 1 species
AACAGGGAUUGCCCUAGUAACGGCGAGUGAAGCGGCAACAGCUCAAAUUUGAAAUCUGGCUCCCUCGGGGCCCGAGUUGUAAUUUGUAGAGGGUGCUUUGGUGUUGGCCCCGGCCUAAGUUCCUUGGAACAGGACGUCAUAGAGGGUGAGAAUCCCGUAUGUGGCCAGCCGCCUUCGCCGUGUAAAGCCCCUUCGACGAGUCGAGUUGUUUGGGAAUGCAGCUCUAAAUGGGAGGUAAAUUUCUUCUAAAGCUAAAUAUUGGCCAGAGACCGAUAGCGCACAAGUAGAGUGAUCGAAAGAUGAAAAGCACUUUGGAAAGAGAGUCAAAAAGCACGUGAAAUUGUUGAAAGGGAAGCGCUUGCAGCCAGACUUGCCUGUAGUUGCUCAUCCGGGCUCUUGCCCGGUGCACUCUUCUGCAGGCAGGCCAGCAUCAGUUUGGGCGGCCAGAUAAAGGCCCCGGGAACGUAGCUCUCUCCGGGGAGUGUUAUAGCCCGAGGCGUCAUGUGGCCAGCCCGGACUGAGGCCCGCGCAUCUGCUAGGAUGCUGGCGUAAUGGCUGUAAGCGGCCCGUCUUGAAACACGGACCAAGGAGUCUAACAUCUAUGCGAGUGUUUGGGUGUCAAGCCCGGGCGCGCAAUGAAAGUGAACGGAGGUGGGAACCCUCUGGGGUGCACCAUCGACCGAUCCUGAUGUCUUCGGAUGGAUUUGAGUAAGAGCAUAGCUGUUGGGACCCGAAAGAUGGUGAACUAUGCCUGAAUAGGGUGAAGCCAGAGGAAACUCUGGUGGAGGCUCGCAGCGGUUCUGACGUGCAAAUCGAUCGUCAAAUUUGGGCAUA